rnacentral:rRNA from 1 species
CGAAUAUACCGGUUCUCGUUAGAUCACCGAAGUCAAGCAUCAUUGGGCGCGGUCAGUACUUGGGUGGGUGACCACCUGGGAACACUGCGUGCCGUU